UGGCUCAGAUUGAACGCUGGCGGCGUGCCUAACACAUGCAAGUCGAGCGGUAGCAGGCGUAGCAAUACGUGCUGACGAGCGGCGAACGGGUGAGCAAUGCUUCGGAAUCUGCCCAAUGGUGGGGAAUAACCAGCCGAAAGGUUGGCUAAUACCGCAUACGCCCUACGGGGGAAAGCAGGGGAUCGCAAGACCUUGCGCCGAUGGAUGAGCCGAAGUCGGAUUAGCUAGUCGGUAGGGUAACGGCCUACCAAGGCGACGAUCCGUAGCUGGUCUGAGAGGACGACCAGCCACACUGGGACUGAGACACGGCCCAGACUCCUACGGGAGGCAGCAGUGGGGAAUAUUGGACAAUGGGCGAAAGCCUGAUCCAGCGACGCCGCGUGUGUGAAGAAGGCCUGCGGGUUGUAAAGCACUUUUAGUGGGGAUGAAAAGCCUAGAGCUAAUACCUCUGGGUCUUGACCUAACCCACAGAAAAAGCACCGGCUAACUCUGUG
rnacentral:rRNA from 1 species